AGAGUUUGAUCAUGGCUCAGAGUGAACGCUGGCGGCGUGCCUAACACAUGCAAGUCGAACGAGAACGGAUAUAAGUUUACUUAUAUUGUCAGCUAAGUGGCGCACGGGUGAGUAAUAUAUAGUUAAUCUGCCCUGAAGAAGAGAAUAAUUGUUGGAAACGACUUGUAAUGCUCUAUAUGCCUUUAUCACAUAAGUGAGCAAGGGAAAUAUUUAUAGCUUCGGGAUGAGACUGUACGGUAUCAGCUAGUUGGUGAGGUAAUGGCUCACCAAGGCUAUGACAUCUAACUGGUUUGAGAGGAUGAUCAGUCACACUGGAACUGAGACACGGUCCAGACUCCUACGGGAGGCAGCAGUGGGGAAUAUUGCACAAUGGAGGAAACUCUGAUGCAGCAACGCCGCGUGGAGGAUGACACAUUUCGGUGCGUAAACUCCUUUUAUUAGGGAAGAUGGUGACGGUACCUAAUGAAUAAGCACCGGCUAACUCCGUGCCAGCAGCCGCGGUAAUACGGGGGGUGCAAGCGUUACUCGGAAUCACUGGGCGUAAAGAGCAUGUAGGCUGAUUAGUAAGUUGGAAGUGAAAUCCUAUGGCUCAA
rnacentral:rRNA from 1 species